rnacentral:rRNA from 1 species
GAGCGAGGAGUCGCCGUGCACCCUCCUGCUGCCGUUCUUGGACAAGAGCCGCCACUGGACGGCCGAGGAGAUCAAGGCUGGCCUCGAGGGGAGCGACGUCGGCGCAAAGGUCGGCGCUCUGAAGCGCGCCAUCAUGCUCCACCUCAACGGCGACACAGUGCCCGACCUCCUCAUCACCGUCGUCCGCUCCGUCCUCCCCUCCAAUCCAAGGAACACAUCAUCCAGAGGCUCCUCCUCGUCUACCUCGAGGUCGUGGACAAACGGGACCCAGCCUCCGGCAAGGUCAUCCCGGAGAUGAUCCUCGUCUCCCACCACCUCCGCAGCAACCUCCAGCACCCCAACGAAUACAUCCGCCGCGUCACGCUGCGGUUCCUCUGUCGGCUGCGCGAGCCGGAGCUGCUGCAGCCGAUUGUGCCCGCCAUUAUCGCCAAUCUCAAGCACCCGGACCCUUUCGUCCGCCGACACACGCUCUCCGCAAUCUCUGUCAUCUUCCGCCUGCCUUGUGGCGAGCAGCUCAUUCCAAACGCGCCUUACCUUGUGGAGCGUGCUCUCGCCAUCGAGCAGGACCCAAGCGCACGGAGGAACGCGUUCCUCAUGCUCUGCGACUGCUCGCCGGAUCAUGCCAAUGCUUACCUGCUCGGCAAUGCUGCCCGCGUCGCCGAGUGGCCCAUCGCCCUCCAGAUGGCCGCCCUCGAUUUCGUUCGCAAAGCCUACUCUCCUCGCUUCAGAACCACGUACAUUGAGAUCAUUAUGUCCCUCAUCUCCACUGCCACAACUGAUGUUGUUGUAGUGUAUGAUUGCGCACGCACGCUCUUGUCCGUGUCCCGUGAACCGACGUUGAUCCACGCUGCUGCAGAAGCCUACUUCCGGCUGCUCAGCUCACAGAGUGACAACAAGGUGAGGCUCAUUAUCUUGGACCGCCUGCACGAGCUGUGCGCCUCACAACGUCAUAUGAUGGUCUCUUUUGUCAUGGACAUCCUGCACUCGCUUGCCAGCGCCGAUGCUGAUCUGGAUGUCAGAAGCAAGGUUCUGGAUUUGGUGAUUGGUUUGCUCACCACGCAGAAUGUGGAGAAGGCCGUUUUAUACCUCAAGAACGAGGUUUUGGAGACAAUGGACAGUGUGCACGAGAUGGCCUAUGAAUACUACCUGGUGCUGGUGGAGACGAUCCAUGCCUGUGCCGUAGAGUACCCAAGUGUGGCUGGAUUGGUGAUGCACAUCCUCUUGGAUUUCCUUGUGUAUGGUGGUGACAUUGCUUCAGCUUCGGAUGUCAUUAUGUUUGUGCGUGACGUCAUUGGUACCGACCCUUUGCUGCGUGUGUCCGUGAUAGUGAGGCUGGUUGAUUUGUUAAGUUUUAUCCAGGAUUCCUUCAUCUGUUCAUGUGCUCUCUGGAUCCUUGGGGAGUACUCGUUUUCGCUAUCUGAGGUCCGGAGAGACAUCUCUACCAUUAUGCGCACACUUGGAGAUCAGCCCUUCAAUGAUGUCUCUGAGAAAAGCGAUCAAUCUAUUUUUGAUUGCACUCCUACUAGUGGGUUGUUGGAUUGCACGCAUAGUCUCAGAUUUCUCAUUAUGUCAGGUGAUUUUCACUUGGCCGCCGUUGUUGCGUGUACGUUGACCAAGCUUGUGCUGAGGCUGGAGGAGGUUGAAGCAAACAAGGCAUCAGCAGAGUCUUUGCUGAUCAUGGUGUCCAUGCUGCAGCUGGGGAAGUCCUCUUACCUUCCCCACCCUAUCGACAAUGACUCAUAUGACAGAAUUGUUUUCUGCGUUAGGUUGCUUUGUAGCACUGAUUAUGAUCAUGCAAGGAAGGUUUGGUUGCUGCCAUGCCGCCAGAGCUUCACAAAGAUGCUUGCUGAGAAGCAAUCCAGGAAGAAGAAUGACAAGAUGAAGGUCGAGGCACAGAAUGCCCAUGCACAUACUGAUGAUUCCAUUGAUUUCUACCACCUGGGCAGCAGGAGCGGAAUGGGCCAACUUAUUGAGUUGGAAGAUGAGUUCCAAGAUGAUUUAAAGGCUGUAACAGGUGAAUUCAAGGAUGCAGAUGAUGCAAAUAAAUUGAACCGCCCUAUUCAGUUGACAGGGUUCAGUGAUCCUUUGUAUGCUGAAGGAUUUGUUACCGUUAAUCAGUACUAUGAUACUGUACUUGAUAUUACAGUGAUGAACCGGACACAAGGAACAAUGCACAACUUGUGUUUGAAGUUUGCAACAGCAUGCAAAAACGCAGUACUCGAACAACGCUCUCCGAAGUACACCGCCGUGGCUCCUAACGCAUGCGAGCAAAUCCAGGCCAACAUCAAGGUUUCUUCAUCAAAUGUUGGAAUUAUAAUUACUCGCAUCGUUUAUGAGACUUUAGAUGAAAUGGGGCCUUCAGAGGUGAUCCUAAAAGAUAUGAGCAUUAGCAUUGCGGAUUACAUGACACCUGCUACAUGCACUGAUGUAGCUUUCCGGAGGAUGUGGGCUGAGUGUCCGUGGAAAGUUAAGAUGAAGGUCAAUACCGUGCUUCGUGAUGAGAAGGCAUUUGUGAAUUUUAUAGUCAAGUCAACAAACAUGAACUGCCUAACACCAUUGUCUGCGCUUGAUGGGGACUGUGGGUUUGUUGCUGCCAAUCUCUACGCCAAGAGUGUGUUUGGCGAGGAUGCUUUGGUGAACAUCAGCAUAGAGAAGCAGCAGUCCAACUGU